AUUGAACGCUGGCGGCAGGCCUAACACAUGCAAGUCGAACGGUAACAGGAAGAAGCUUGCUUCUUUGCUGACGAGUGGCGGACGGGUGAGUAAUUUCUGGGAAACUUCCUGAUGGAGGGGGAUAACUACUGGAAACGGUAGCUAAUACCGCCUAACGUCGCACGACCAAAGAGGGGGACCUUCGGGCCUCUUGCCAUCGGAUUUGCCCAGAUGGGAUUAGCUAGUAGGUGGGGUAACGGCUCACCUAGGCGACGAUCCCUAGCUGGUCUGAGAGGAUGACCAGCCACACUGGAACUGAGACAAGGUCCAGACUCCUACGGGAGGCAGCAGUGGGGAAUAUUGCACAAUGGGCGGAAGCCUGAUGCAGCCAAGCCGCGUGGAUGAAGAAGGCCUUCGGGUUGUAAAGUACUUUCAGCGGGGAGGAAGGGAGUAAAGUUAAUACCUUUGCUCAUUGACGUUACCCGCAGAAGAAGCACCGGCUAACUCCGUG
rnacentral:rRNA from 1 species